rnacentral:rRNA from 1 species
GACGCUGGCGGCAGGCCUAACACAUGCAAGUCGAGCGGCAGCGACAACAUUGAACCUUCGGGGGAUUUGUUGGGCGGCGAGCGGCGGACGGGUGAGUAAUGCCUGGGAAAUUGCCCUGAUGUGGGGGAUAACCAUUGGAAACGAUGGCUAAUACCGCAUGAUAGCUUCGGCUCAAAGAGGGGGACCUUCGGGCCUCUCGCGUCAGGAUAUGCCCAGGUGGGAUUAGCUAGUUGGUGAGGUAAGGGCUCACCAAGGCGACGAUCCCUAGCUGGUCUGAGAGGAUGAUCAGCCACACUGGAACUGAGACACGGUCCAGACUCCUACGGGAGGCAGCAGUGGGGAAUAUUGCACAAUGGGCGCAAGCCUGAUGCAGCCAUGCCGCGUGUAUGAAGAAGGCCUUCGGGUUGUAAAGUACUUUCAGCAGUGAGGAAGGAGGUAUCGUUAAUAGCGGUAUCUUUUGACGUUAGCUGCAGAAGAAGCACCGGCUAACUCCGUGCCAGCAGCCGCGGUAAUACGGAGGGUGCGAGCGUUAAUCGGAAUUACUGGGCGUAAAGCGCAUGCAGGUGGUUUGUUAAGUCAGAUGUGAAAGCCCGGGGCUCAACCUCGGAAUUGCAUUUGAAACUGGCAGGCUAGAGUACUGUAGAGGGGGGUAGAAUUUCAGGUGUAGCGGUGAAAUGCGUA